rnacentral:rRNA from 1 species
UGAGGAAUAUUGGUCAAUGGCCGAGAGGCUGAACCAGCCAAGUCGCGUGAGGGAUGACGGCCCUACGGGUUGUAAACCUCUUUUGUCGGGGAGCAAAGAGAGUCACGUGUGGCUCAUUGAGAGUACCCGAAGAAAAAGCAUCGGCUAACUCCGUG